rnacentral:tRNA from 1 species
UCCGAAAUCGGUAGACGCUACGGACUUAAAAUCCGUUGGCUUUUUAGACCGUGAGGGUUCAAGUCCCUCUACCCUCA